rnacentral:ncRNA from 1 species
UAUCAAACGUCGAAGAGGACUAGUAGAAUGAUUUUCGUCUAUCCAAGAGAGGGUGCCGAGUGGUGAGAGGCAGCCAUAGAUGAGCAUUUGAACCUGCCUCAGAGUUCUGCAUCAGAAACGGUGCAGCGGUUUAAAACCGUUACCAUGAAAGAGAGUAAAGCUUUGCUUUGAAUGAGGGUGGUACCGCCAGGAAUGGUCCCUUAU